CAGCACCAAGGGGUGGCACGGGGCACUGUCAGCCUAAGCCAAGUGCCAUUAUCCCUUACAUAAUGAAGAAAACACAGCCUGCCCCUUUUGGCUCUCAUCCAGAAAGACAGGCUUUCUACUCCUUCCCCAUCCUGUCAGGCCAUAAAUGAGAGGGAAAACCAGGAGAGGGGCAGAGGGAGAAAGAGAACCGUAAGCAGGCUCCAUGCCCAACAAGGAGCCAGGUGAGUGGUUCCAUCUCACGACCCUGAGAUCACGACCUGAGCGAAAAUCAAGAGUCAGACGCUUAACAGACUGAGCCACCCAGGCGCCCCUUAUACGAUGAACUUUUUUAAUAGAAGAAAUUAACAUUGAACUCUACAUGGUAUUUUUAACUCCUUUCAUUCUGGUGACCCAGUAUUACUACAAGAGAAUACAUCAAGCCCGUUUUCCCCCUAGCUACACAGUUAAACAUUAAUCAGGUAAUCUGGAGUAAAUCCAGCCCCCAAUUCUGUUUUCUUUACUCUGUAAUGGACAUGCCCACUGCAUUAUCAUAAAGCUGGGAUACCCAAACCACUGCGUACUGGAAUCACCAGGUGAGCUUUUUAAUAUCCCAAA